rnacentral:rRNA from 1 species
AUGAGAAAUGGAGUAUCUUCUUUCUUCUUCCUUCAGCUCCUUUCACCUCCCAUAAAAUCAACUUAUCCAAAUGCAAAUUCAGUCAACUUACAAAUAGGUAAUGUGUCACUAUUGAGGAGCAUAGGAUUCUCCCGAACUGAAAUAGGUAGCCAAAGAAGCAAAGGUAGAAUUCUGCCCGCUCGGUCCUGUUCAUUUCGUGUCACUGAGUGCAAAUUGACAGACACACGUGGCCAUACUCAAUCAGAAAAAGAAAAGAAAAACAUGGGCAUAGACCAUAGAGGCACACGCAUAUACUAUAGGAGUAGUUAA